ACUACUAACCACUUACUAAACUUAGCAUGCAAGAAGAAACAGUUAAUUUAAAGAGCUAAGCAUGAUUAGCAGGAGUCAAAACUAAUUAAGUAGCUAAACAGGAAUUAACUACCAAGGUGCAUGAAUUAAUAAAAGACCAAAGUAGCUGAUCUGCUCCUUGCGUGGGCUUCCUAAACCUGGUGACCUGCCUGAAGCACGAACCUGGGACUCCCCUGUGUUGGCCCACGUGCUUGUGCUGGGCCGCAAGCGAGCAUGCGCUCUGGGCUGCUUGGCACGCGCGAGCUGGGCCAAGCCUGCUGCUCAGCUUUGCACGCUGGGCUGCCGGCACGCGCGAACUGGGCCGGCUUUGCUCAAGCCUGCACGCUGCUGCUGGUUCGGCCUGCGUUGCCCACGAGCAUGCUGCUCCUGCUGCUGCGAAUCGCUUUGCUCGACACCUGCACAAGGAAGAACAGAAAGAACCGAAGAACACAACAAGAACGCCGGCCACACUUCAAUCCAAAAUUUCUUUCUCGAUACUCCACAAUUCGAAACAAAACUUGAGACAAAGAUGCAAUACCCAAAGGCAAAUAGAUCCAUGAGACAACUCUCAAAAAGCUCAAGUAUUCAUUGCAAAUUUUGAAGAAAACCAAAACCCUAACUCAAGAACACGAUUUGGGAAAAUUCAAAAAUCAAGCCAGAUUCGUGAGGAAUUUGAAGAGGAUCAUAUCAAAGAUGCUCCCUAAGGUCCUAGCAACAUUUCCCUUCAACCAAAUUCACGAGAUCCGGGCUCAAACAUGAUGAACGUAAAUUCCCCAAAAAUAGUUCCAAAAAUAGGGAAAAAGAAAAACGCUCGGGAAUCAAAGAUUUAGCAUGAUUUGAGACAACAAACAAGGCUAAAUCACAAGAACAUCUUCUAUACAAGAUGAGGACUAGCCUCCUCCCUUCAUCACCCACUAAAGAUGAAGAAAUCAAGAGAAAAGAGUAAUCACUCUCUAAUCUCCCUUUCUCCUCUCACUUUAAGCACAUGACUAGCCUCUAAGCCAAAUGAUAAUGAGUUGC
rnacentral:lncRNA from 1 species